AUUGAACGCUGGCGGCAUGCCUUACACAUGCAAGUCGAACGGCAGCACGGGUGCUUGCACCUGGUGGCGAGUGGCGAACGGGUGAGUAAUACAUCGGAACGUACCUUAUCGUGGGGGAUAACGCAGCGAAAGCUGUGCUAAUACCGCAUACGCCCUGAGGGGGAAAGCGGGGGAUCGAAAGACCUCGCGCGAUUAGAGCGGCCGAUGCCUGAUUAGCUUGUUGGUGGGGUAAAAGCCACCCAAGGUGACGAUCAGGAGCUGGUCUGAGAGGACGAUCAGCCACACUGGGAGUGAGACACGGCCAGGACUCCUGCGGGAGGCAGCAGUGGGAAAUUUGGGACAAUGGGGGCAACCCUGAUCCAGCAAGGCCGCGUGAGUGAAGAAGGCCUUCGGGUUGUAAAGCUCUUUUGUCAGGGAAGAAACACCGGCUCUAACACAGUCCGGGAAUGACGGUACCUGAAGAAUAAGCACCGGCUAACUACGUGCCAGCCGCCGCCGUAA
rnacentral:rRNA from 1 species